rnacentral:rRNA from 1 species
UACGAGCACCCCAAGCGUUAUCCGGAAUCAUUGGGCGUAAAGGGUGUGUAGGCGGCGAUGUUAGUCUUCUGUCAAAUUCUUCGGCUUAACCGGGGGCUUGCAGGGGAAACGGCAUGGCUCGAGAGUGCGAGAGGUGAAUGGAACUCAUGGAGUAGGGGUAAUAUCCGUUGAUAUCAUGGGGAACACCGAAAGCGAAGGCAAUUCACUGGCGCAUUUCUGACGCUGAGACACGAAAGCGUGGGUAGCGAAUGGG